rnacentral:rRNA from 1 species
GGUUAUGGGUCCCAGUUCUCUUCUAUUAAUUUUUUUCCAUUCGUGGUCUAACGUUAGGAAGAGAGGGAAAAAGGAAAAAGGAGGUAUCCCCUUUUUUUUCUUUUAUUUCUUGGGAAGGAAUUAUUUUAAAAAUGGGAUUAGGGGCCAGAGUUUGGGAGGGGUUUUACCUUUUUUCAUCUUUGUGUUUCUUUUCUUGUUUUGAUUCCUUGAUAAUCUGUAGCCAUCCUCGAGAUUUUAAGGAAUACGCAUGGCAUUAAGUUGUCGUGUGUAUGACUCUCGUCAUUUACUGUGAGCAAAAUAGAGUGUUCAAAGCAGGCAUUUUUUAUGCCAUUGAAUAUAUUAGCAUGGAAUAAUAAGAUAGGACCUUGGUCUAAUUUUGUUGGUUUGUAUUCCAAGGUA